UACGUAGGGGGGCAAGCGUUUGUCCGGAUUUAUUGGGCGUAAAGAGCGUGUAGGCGGUUUGGUAGGUCCGUUGUGAAAACUCGAGGCUCAACCUCGAGACGCCGAUGGAAACCAUCAGACUAGAGUCCGGAAGAGGAGAGUGGAAUUCCGGGUGUAGCGGUGGAAUGCGUAGAGAUCCGGAAGAACACCAGUGGCGAAGGCGGCCCGCUGGGCAGUGGCUGACGCUGAGGCGCGACAGCGUGGGGAGCAAACAGG
rnacentral:rRNA from 1 species